GAUGAACGCUGGCGGCGUGCCUAAUACAUGCAAGUCGAGCGAACAGACGAGGAGCUUGCUCCUCUGGCGUUAGCGGCGGACGGGUGAGUAACACGUGGAUAACCUACCUAUAAGACUGGGAUAACUUCGGGAAACCGGAGCUAAUACCGGAUAAUAUAUUGAACCGCAUGGUUCAAUAGUGAAAGACGGUUUUGCUGUCACUUAUAGAUGGAUCCGCGCCGCAUUAGCUAGUUGGUAAGGUAACGGCUUACCAAGGCAACGAUGCGUAGCCGACCUGAGAGAGGAGAGGGCAAACUUGGAACGGAGACAGGAUCGAGACUCCUCGGGAGGGAAGAAGUGGGGAAUCGUCGAAAUGGGGCGAAGGCCGGAGGGAAAAAACCGGGGGGAGGAAGAAAGGUUUUGGGAUAUAAAAACUUUUUUUAAAGGGAAAAAAAAAUGUGAAAGUAAAAAGGCACGUCUAGAGGGUACAUAAUCAAAAAGACAGGGAAAACUAGGGG
rnacentral:rRNA from 1 species